rnacentral:rRNA from 1 species
CAGCAGCCGCGGGAACACGGAGGGGGCUAGCGUUGUUCGGAAUUACUGGGCGUAAAGCGUGCGCAGGCGGUUCGUUAAGACAGAUGUGAAAGCCCCGGGCUCAACCUGGGAAUGGCAAUGGAUACUGGCGAGCUAGAGUGUGUCAGAGGAUGGUGGAAUUCCCGGUGUAGCGGUGAAAUGCGUAGAGAUCGGGAGGAACAUCAGUGGCGAAGGCGGCCAUCUGGGACAACACUGACGCUGAGGCACGAAAGCGUGGGGAGCAAACAGGAUUAGAUACCCCCGUAGUCCCUGUCUCUUAUAC